rnacentral:rRNA from 1 species
GACGAACGCUGGCGGCGUGCUUAACACAUGCAAGUCGAACGGAAAGGCCCUGCUUUUGUGGGGUGCUCGAGUGGCGAACGGGUGAGUAACACGUGAGUAACCUGCCCUUGACUUUGGGAUAACUUCAGGAAACUGGGGCUAAUACCGGAUAGGAGCUCCUGCUGCAUGGUGGGGGUUGGAAAGUUUCGGCGGUUGGGGAUGGACUCGCGGCUUAUCAGCUUGUUGGUGGGGUAGUGGCUUACCAAGGCUUUGACGGGUAGCCGGCCUGAGAGGGUGACCGGCCACAUGGGGAAGGAGAACCGGCCCAAACCCCUAGGGGGGGAAGAGGUGGGGAAUAUUGCAAAAGGGGCGGAAGCCAGGUGGCGAAACGCCGGGGGGGGGAAGACGGCCUUGGGGUUGUAAACCGGUUUCCCCUGGGACGAAGCGUGGGGGACUGUAAUGGGGAAAGAAGCACCGGCUAACUACGU